rnacentral:ncRNA from 1 species
GAAGAUAGAGGAGCGAAACUUAUCAGUAGCUGAUUAAAUGGAUUAAAGCGUCCACAGUGAAAGGAAUUUUCGCCGAAGUGUAUGGCUUGCUUUAGGGUCAUAUUGCUGGGCGUUCACAGAAUAUGUGUUCGACUGUCACGAUUUUUAUUGUGUUGGGCUAUCA